rnacentral:rRNA from 1 species
UAGCCAUGCAUGUCUAAGUAUAAGCAAUUAUACCGUGAAACUGCGAAUGGCUCAUUAAAUCAGUUAUCGUUUAUUUGAUAGUACCUUACCACUUGGAUAACCGUGGUAAUUCUAGAGCUAAUACAUGCUAAAAACCCCGACUUCGGAAGGGGUGUGUUUAUUAGAUAAAAAACCAAUGCCCUUCGGGGCUCUUUGGUGAUUCAUGAUAACCUAACGGAUCGCAUGGCCUUGCGCCGGCGACGGUUCAUUCAAAUUUCUGCCCUAUCAACUUUCGAUGGUAAGGUAUUGGCUUACCAUGGUUUCAACGGGUAACGGGGAAUUAGGGUUCGAUUCCGGAGAGGGAGCCUGAGAAACGGCUACCACAUCCAAGGAAGGCAGCAGGCGCGCAAAUUACCCAAUCCCGACACGGGGAGGUAGUGACAAUAAAUACUGAUACAGGGCCCUUUUGGGUCUUGUAAUUGGAAUGAGUACAAUUUAAACCCCUUAACGAGGAACAAUUGGAGGGCAAGUCUGGUGCCAGCAGCCGCGGUAAUUCCAGCUCCAAUAGCGUAUAUUAAAGUUGUUGCAGUUAAAAAGCUCGUAGUUGAAACUUGGGUCUGGCUAGCGGGUCCGCCUCACCGCGUGCACUUGUCCGGCUGGACCUUUCCUUCUGGAGAACCUCAUGCCCUUCACUGGGUGUGUUGGGGAACCAGGACUUUUACUUUGAAAAAAUUAGAGUGUUCAAAGCAGGCCUUUGCUCGAAUACGUUAGCAUGGAAUAAUAGAAUAGGACGUGCGGUCCUAUUUUGUUGGUUUCUAGGAUCGCCGUAAUGAUUAAUAGGGAUAGUCGGGGGCAUCAGUAUUCAAUUGUCAGAGGUGAAAUUCUUGGAUUUAUUGAAGACUAACUACUGCGAAAGCAUUUGCCAAGGAUGUUUUCAUUAAUCAGUGAACGAAAGUUAGGGGAUCGAAGACGAUCAGAUACCGUCGUAGUCUUAACCGUAAACUAUGCCGACUAGGGAUCGGGCGAUGUUUCUAUCUUGACUCGCUCGGCACCUUACGAGAAAUCAAAGUUUUUGGGU